AUACGGAGGGUGCAAGCGUUGUUCGGAAUUACUGGGCGUAAAGCGCGUGCAGGCGGUUUGGUAAGUCAGAUGUGAAAGCCCUGGGCUCAACCCGGGAAGUGCAUUUGAAACUGCCUUUCUUGAGUAUGGGAGAGGAGAGUGGAAUUCCCAGUGUAGAGGUGAAAUUCGUAGAUAUUGGGAGGAACACCCGUGGCGAAGGCGACUCUCUGGACCAAUACUGACGCUGAGACGCGAAAGCGUGGGGAGCAAACAGGAUUAGAAACCCCUGUAGUCC
rnacentral:rRNA from 1 species